rnacentral:lncRNA from 1 species
CCUGUAGUGCUUCUACAGUAAUGUAUGCAUCAUGGGCAACAAACAGGAGGAGCUGGAAACCACUUACUGUAUUAUCAGUAAGUUUGCAGAUGACACCAAGUUAAGCAGGAGUGUUGAUCUGCAUGAGGAUAGGGAGGCUCUACAGAGAGACUUGGAUAGAUUGGAUCAAUGGGCCAACGUUAAUGGUACGAGCUUCAACAAGGCCAAGUGCCAGGUCCUGCACUUGGGCCACAACAACCCCAUGCAUCGCUACAGGCUCGGGGAAGUGUGGCUGGAGAGCUGCCUGGCAGAAAAGGACUUGGGGGUUCUAAUUGACAAGCGGCUGAAUAUGAGCCAGCAUUGUGCCCAGGUGGCCAAGAAAGCCAAUGGCAUCCUGGCUUGUAUUAGAAAUAGUGUGGCCAGCAGAAGUAGGGAGGUGAUUGUCCCCCUGCACUCAGCACUGGUGAGGUCACACCUUGAGUAUUGUGUCCAGUUUUGGGCACCUCAAUACAAGAGAGAUAUCGAGGUGCUGGAGCGAGUGCAGAGGAGGGCAACGAAGCUGGUGAAGGGCCUGGAGAAUAAAUCUCAUGAAGAGCGAUUGAAGGAGCUGGGACUGUUUAGUUUGAGGAAGAGGAGGCUGAGGGGUGACCUCAUCACUCUCUACAACUACUUGAAAGGACAUUGUAGAGAGGUUGGUGCUGGUCUCUUCUCCCAGGUAAUUAGCGAUAGAACAAGCGGAAUGGCUUCAAGCUGCAACGGGGUAGAUUUAGACUGGGCAUUAGGAAAAAAUUCUUCACAGAAAGAAUGGUCAGACACUGGAAUAGGCUGCCCAGGGAGGUGGUUGAGUCACCCUCCCUGAAUGUGUUUGUCAUUUAGAUGUGGUGUUGGGGGAUAUGGUGUAGGGGAGAACUUUAUAGAGUGGGGUUGACGGUUGGACUUGGUGAUCCCAAGGGUCUUUUCCAACCUGAAUGAUUCUAUGAUUCUAUGGUUCACUGUGCAGCAGGAAAACUGUGAUGUAGUUGCCAUCACAGAAAUGUGGUGGGAUGACUCGCAUGACUGGAGUGCUGCAAUGGAUGGCUAUAAACUCUUC